UUUGCCCUAAUCCACAGCACGCCCCCCUCCCUCUCCGCUGCGUCGCGAAUACUCUGUUCCGCCCCCGCGGCCUCUCGAACGCUCCCCAAACCCUAGCUAGGCGUGGUUCCCAUGUCGGGGUCGUACGGAUCCGACGACUACCGCGGCGGCGGCGGAGGUGGCUAUGGCGGCCGAGGUGGCGGCGGCGGAGGCGGUCGUGGGCGAGGAGGCCCCGGAGGAUAUGGCGGCAGCGGUGGCGGCGGUGGGGCAUAUGGAGGUGGCAGUGGCGGAGGGUACGGCGGUGGGGGGAGAGGUGGUGGUGGAGGGGGAGGAGGCUAUGGCGGCGGUGGCGGAGGCGGCGGGAGAGGUGGCGGGCGCGGGGGAGGACGCGAUGGCGACUGGGUUUGCCCUGACGCGAGCUGUGGUAACGUGAACUUUGCAAGGAGGACUGAGUGCAAUAAGUGUGGGGCACAGUGCCCUAGUGGUGGUGGCGGUGGUGGUGGCGGUGGCGGUGGGUACGAUAGGUCUGGUGGAGGAGGUGGAGGGUACAAUCGUGGUGGUGGUGAUCAUGGUUCAGGAGGUGGUGGUGGCUACAGCAGAGGUGAUGGGGAUUACAGCUCUGGUGGUCGUGGUGGUAGUGCUGGUGGAGGAAGAGGAGGGUAUAAUCGUGAUGGUGGUAGCGGUCGUGGUUUUGACGACUACCGUGCUGGCGGUGGUUACGGUGGAAGAGACCAAGAUAACAAUCAAAGGGGAGAUAAAGAUUCCUUUGGUGACGGUGGCUAUGGACAGGCGCCCCCUAAAGGUCCUCCAUCCUAUGGCGGGCCUGCAGGUGACUAUGCACCGCCCCCAAGUUCCUAUGGAGGCAACAAUGUGUACAGCUCGGAUUCUGCAGUGCCUCCCCCUAAUAGCUAUGGAGGUGGUCGAGGAUCUUACCCACCAAGCUAUGGUGCCCCACCUCCAAACCCAUAUAGUGGUGGUGCACCUGGGGGUGCAGGAGGCCUGCCGCCUACAUAUGAUGGUGGGUAUGGUGGUCGGUCUAUGCCUGGGGGUGGAGGCACAGGUGGUGCACCGCCACCUUAUCAAGGUGGCGGCGGCGGUGGUUACAGCAACAAUGCUACCCCUGAACCAGCUACGAAGGUUAAGCAGUGUGAUGCAAACUGUGAUGAUUCCUGUGACAAUCCAAGGAUAUACAUAUCAAACCUGCCUCCUGAUGUGACUGUUGAGGAACUGCAAGAGCUUUUUGGAGGAAUUGGCCAGGUUGGAAGGAUCAAGCAAAAACGUGGCUACAAAGACCAGUGGCCCUGGAACAUAAAACUCUACACUGAUGAUUCUGGAAAACCCAAAGGAGAUGCUUGCCUUGCUUAUGAAGAUCCUUCUGCUGCUCAUGCAGCAGGCGGAUUCUACAACAAUUAUGAAAUGAGAGGCCAUAAAAUAAGUGUUGUGAUGGCCGAGAAAUCAGCACCUAGAGCUCCUACAUCUGGUCAUGGGGGUGGACGUGGUGGCGGCUAUGGUGGGGAUAGACGCAGGGACGGAGGAGGCCAUGGACCUAAUAGAAACCAGGGUGGUGGUUCGCGUGCAAGGCCAUACUGAAAACAUUAAUAAUUACUAAGAUUAUCAUCUGUGAGAAACCAUUUCUAUUCAUGUUCUCCGGACUUGUACUCAUACAGGAGCUUAAGAACAGCUGGAUAAGCUCCAAAUGCUGGUAGGUUUGAGAUGUUAUUUCAGCCGGUGGAUCAGUACUGUAAGCUUGGAUUUUGCUGUGGAGAACAGGUAGGGGGAUUUUGAUCAAACCUAUGGGCUGCAAAUUGCAAUGUGCUUAUGUGGAUAUUAUCUGCAUGUACUAGCUUCUCCUGUUGGCACAUUUAGUCACAAGUAUGUUCGAUGAACAUGUAGGGCGAUUUUGAUCUAUGAGCUGCAAAUUGCAAUGUGCUUAUGUGGAUAUUAUCUGCAUAUACUAGCUUCUCCUUUUGGCACAUUUAGUCCCAAGUACGUCGGAUGUUUCUCCUUUUGGCACAUUUAGUCCCAAGUAAGCUCGAUGUCACACCGAGUGAGAAUAUCGGCAUAGGCAAAUGGCAAAUUAUGAUGCCAGGAAGCCAGCCUCUGUUACAGUAGCACCAUGUCUUCUCCUCUCGUUCCAUGACUGCGUCCGUUUGUUUGUCUGGCUAACGUAGUCCCAUGAAUUAUUGAAUGUUGCUGUUAUAAAGUUCA